GGUGCCUUAGCUCAGUCGGUAGAGCAAUGGACUGAAAAUCCAUGUGUCCCUGGUUCGAUUCCUGGAGGCACCACC
rnacentral:tRNA from 1 species